rnacentral:rRNA from 1 species
UAAUACAGAGGGGGCAAGCGUUAUUCGGAAUUAUUGGGCGUAAAGGGCGCGUAGGCGGCUUGGCAAGUGGAAGGUGAAAUCCCUCGGCUUAACCGAGGAACUGCCCUCCAAACUGCUUUGCUUGAGGCCGGGAGAGGUGAGUGGAAUUCCCAGUGUAGCGGUGAAAUGCGUAGAUAUUGGGAGGAACACCAGUGGCGAAGGCGGCUCACUGGACCGGUUCUGACGCUGAGGCGCGAAAGCGUGGGGAGCAAACGGGAUUAGAUACCCCGGUAGUCCACGCCGUAAACGAUGAGUGCUUGGUGUAGCGGGUAUCGACCCCUGCUGUGCCGAAGUCAACACAUUAAGCACUCCGCCUGGGGAGUACGGUCGCAAGGCUG